AGAGCGAACGCUGGCGGCAGGCCUAACACAUGCAAGUCGAGCGCCCGUAGCAAUACGGGAGCGGCAGACGGGAUAGUAACACGUGGGAACGCGCCCUUCGGUUCGGAAUAACUCAGGGAAACUUGAGCUAAUACCGGAUACGCCCUUACGGGGAAAGAUUUAUUGCCGAAGGAACGGCCCGCGUCCGAUUAGCUAGUUGGUGAGGUAAUGGCUCACCAAGGCGACGAUCGGUAGCUGGUCUGAGAGGAUGACCAGCAUCACUGGGACUGAGACACGGCCCAGACUCCUACGGGAGGCAGCAGUGGGGAAUAUUGCGCAAUGGGCGAAAGCCUGACGCAGCGACGCCGCGUGGGGGAUGAAGGCCUUCGGGUUGUAAACCCCUUUCAGCAGGGACGAAGCGAAAGUGACGGUACCUGCAGAAGAAGCGCCGGCUAACUACGUGCCAGCAGCCGC
rnacentral:rRNA from 1 species